rnacentral:rRNA from 1 species
CAAUUGAUGAUAUAGCAUUACAAGAGAUAGAGUAAUAGUUG